GUGGGGCGGGUCUUGGCCGGUACCGGGGACUUGUAAUCUCUUGGUCGCAGGUUCGAUUCCUGCCGAGG
rnacentral:tRNA from 1 species